rnacentral:rRNA from 1 species
GCGACCCCAGGUCAGGCGGGACUACCCGCUGAAUUUAAGCAUAUCAAUAAGC